UUGGUAGGUUUUCCAGUCCCUCCCUUCACUUCAAUUGAUUCAAAGUUUUGUUGCAUGUCGGUGUGAAUUCGAUUUAGAGAUUUGAUGGAGGAAAAUUGAAAAAAUUGGGGGCGAUGGAGAAGGAGUUGUCGAAGGUGUUUGAGGAGGUGUCGAAAGCGGCUGAUGCUACGAAAUUGUGUGACGGAGGCGCCGAGUAAACUCGAUGCCUUGACCUUGGAUUGGUUUAAGAAUUUUCCCGUCUCUUAUCAGCUCCUCGUCUUAACCUAAGUAUGAUAUCGCUUCUGCUGCUGGCUGGGAUUCUAGGGGCUGCUUCGAAGUUGGAUUUCAUAUCAGUUACUGGGUUUGGUUAGGGUACUCCUGUGACUAUCUUGUGAAUUUUUUUGUUACAGGUAAUUACUUCAGUUCCUGCAUCAUCUUUAAAUGCAGAUUGUUUUCUCUGACCUUUGCUAUUUGUGAUCGGUUGCACUGCUGGUAGUGAGAGUGUUUUCAUAUAAAGGCCUGCAUCAUAUCAUAUUGCUGGUUCCCAUUUGUGGCCUAUUAGAAAUCCUAGUAGCUUAGCAAUAUUCAUGGUUGAUAAAACUUUACUACUUGUAUCAUGGUUGCAUCAGCUCAUAUAUUUGGGUCAGUUAUUUGGAGAAUGGGAAGGUCUCAGACAUCAAUAUAAGACAGAAUGGGAUUGCUGCAGGUGUGAAAAUCUAUAAACCUAUUGAAUUGAAUUAUUCCAUGAUUUUAGAGUACUUAGGUUUGAUUCAUGCAGAA